rnacentral:rRNA from 1 species
GGGGGAUUUUCCGCAAUGGGCGCAAGCCUGACGGAGCAAGACCGCGUGAGGGAGGAAGGCUCUUGGGUUGUAAACCUCUUUUAUCAGGGAAGAAGAUCUGACGGUACCUGAUGAAUCAGCAUCGGCUAACUCCGUGCCAGCAGCCGCGGUAAUACGGAGGAUGCAAGCGUUAUCCGGAUUUAUUGGGCGUAAAGCGUCCGCAGGUGGUUUUACAAGUCUGCUGUCAAAGCGCGAGGCUUAACCUCGUACAGGCGGUGGAAACUGUGAGACUAGAGUAUGGUAGGGGUAGCGGGAAUUCCCAGUGUAGCGGUGAAAUGCGUAGAUAUUGGGAAGAACACCAGCGGCGAAAGCGCGCUACUGGGCCAUUACUGACACUCAUGGACGAAAGCUAGGGGAGCGAAAGGGAUUAGAUACCCCUGUAGUCCUAGCUGUAAACGAUGGAUACUAGGUGUUGCCCGUAUCGACCCGGGCAGUGCCGUAGCUAACGCGUUAAGUAUCCCGCCUGGGGAGUAUGCACGCAAGUGUGAAACUCAAAGGAAUUGACGGGGGCCCGCACAAGCGGUGGAGUAUGUGGUUUAAUUCGAUGCAACGCGAAGAACCUUACCAAGGCUUGACAUGUCGCGAACUCUUGUGAAAGUGAGAGGUGCCUUCGGGAGCGCGAACACAGGUGGUGCAUGGCUGUCGUCAGCUCGUGUCGUGAGAUGUUGGGUUAAGUCCCGCAACGAGCGCAACCCUCGUUUUUAGUUGCCAGCAUUCAGUUGGGCACUCUAGAGAGACUGCCGGUGACAAACCGGAGGAAGGUGGGGAUGACGUCAAGUCAGCAUGCCCCUUACGUCUUGGGCUACACACGUACUACAAUGCUACGGACAAAGGGUUGCGAGCUAGCGAUAGCAAGCUAAUCCCAUAAACCGUGGCUCAGUUCAGAUUGCAGGCUGCAACUCGCCUGCAUGAAGGAGGAAUCGCUAGUAAUCCCAGGUCAGCAUACUGGGGUGAAUACGUUCCCGGGCCUUGUACACACCGCCCGUCACACCAUGGGAGUUGGCCACGCCCGAAGUCGUUACUCCAACCUUUCGAGGAGGAGGAUGCCGAAGGCAGGGCUGAUGACUGGGGUGAAGUCGUAACAAGGUAGCCGUACCGGAAGGUGUGGCUGGAUCACCCCCU